rnacentral:lncRNA from 1 species
GAGAAACACAGCACUGUGUUUUAUAACUGAUGGCUGUGGUGAGAAGCAGUUUUAGCAACGGGUACAUUUAACGUUACAUAUUUAGACCAGUGGUGGCGGCGAAGAAGGGGGUCUCGACGGACGCGUUUUAAACUGAAAAUAUAGCUAAAGAAGUCUGUGCUGACAAAACGUAAAUUCUGAGCGAAAACAGGGCUUAUGUUCACCCUAGCUGUAAAGGCCCAGACGCUGGACCAGCACAAAGUCUUCUUGCAGAGGCUCGUUUUGUCGAGGGCCAGGGUUCACUGUGGAGGAGAUGGACCGCAUGACCCAUUGAGGACAUCAGCGUCCCAAAAAAGCUUGAGUGGAAAGGUCAAUAGACGAAGAUGUCUCCCCUCAGUAUUAAACCAGUCUUCACUACAUCUCCCCGGAGCAGCUGCCUAGCCACUGGACGAUGAGAAGACAGAAGUGAGGGGAGGUGGUCAGUGUUCUUCUUUUGACAGGUGGGAAAAUCCCCAAUAAGAGAAUCUAAUCUUUUUAAGAGUUUAUCAUUUAUUAAAGCUGCUGUUGUUGUUGCAGUGGCCUUUUAAAUAUUAGGCUAGUUAUGAUCUGGGAGAAGUCAGA